AAACCACAAGAGAUUGAUGAGAAUAUUAGAAGAUUACUAGUAAGUUCAUCUCCGCUGACAACAUCUCAUGUUACCAGCUUGGCUGACAAUGUGGGCUCUGUUUGGCGCAGACUUGGACGAGCUCUGGGCUUGCAGGAUGGUCAACUUGACAAUUACAGACAUGACUACAUGCCGGAGGGUCAGCACGAGGUUACAUACCAGAUGAUCCGAGGCUGGGUGAAGAAGGCAGGGGACAAUGCUACAGUGGGGGCCAUGGUCAAGGCUUUGGUCUCUGUACGCAGACUUGAUAUAGCACGCAGUGUUUUUGUUAACACACGUUGACAUCUGCUCAAUUAAACAGUGUUUGUGUGAUCUUUUUGUAUGUAUUCAUGUACGUUUAUAAUGCCUUUAGGAUGUGGGACUAGGGUCGGGAGUCGGAAGACCUGGGAUCUGACCCAGGGUGUUUCAUACCAAAAACUUUGAAAAUGGUACUUGUUUCUGCCUUGCUUGGCAUCAGUCAGAGGUUAAAGUGUUACCUUGCAGUCACUAGGUCACACAAAAGUAUUUUCCGCGAGGUUUUCAUGGAAGAAUACCGGUGUUGUGGCCUGUUGUCCGAUGGAGAUAAUGAUGGUGUGGCUAUGAUUUUUUAAAAGAAAAAAAAUUGUAUUAUUAUGAUGAAUAUUCAUAUCAAGAUUUGGAAACAAAAGCAUUUGCCAUAAUUAAGCCAAUUUGUAUAGAAGUAUCAUGUGAACACAUGAGAUUUGCCAGUGUAAAUUAUGCACUAACAAAAGGACGAGUCACAAAAUAUGCUUGUUUGUGGAAGUUAAUUUUUAUUCUCCUGAUAAAUGUUUAAGGGAGUAUGAGUUGGUGCAAUGACGUCUUUGUUAGUGUGUUAGGGGAUGCUGAAGUCUUUGUGUGCCAGAAGUCAAGUGGUGGAAAAGAAAUAUUGUUGUGUCUGUUCAAAUUAAACUUGUUUCAUUAUAUGUGAAAUGUUCCUAAGGUGUAUACAGAGUACAGAAUGAAUACAGACUUGAUUCUGAUUGCACGUCCAUGUCUAGUCUAAGCUGACUUUUAGGUUUGGUAUAUUUAUUCAAGUGUGACCUAGUCUACUGAGUUUAUCUCAGGGAAUCUUAUCUCCAUUGUCAGCCAAUCAGCUUCGAUUCUGUACACCUUAAAGGUCCCCUGGGUUGUAUCUGGUUCUUGCUCAUAUGUCCAGUUGUAUAAAGUCUGCUCUUGGAAGGUGCCUAGCGAAGAGCAGUGGUUCAUUCUGUCCACACUGCUGUCUUCCACCCAUAAAUCUGUCUGUCAUCCGAUAAGUAAAAAAAAAUUGGAGCGUGUCGUUAAAUACCAGUUAAAUAAGUAAAUAAAUAACACACAAAAAAGCUGCCAAAUUUAAUGACCUAUGGAAUCGACGCUGAUUGGCAGCAGCCCUGGUCAUACUUGAAUAAAUCCACCCUGACUAAAAUUUAGCUUUGACUUGGCAUAGCCUGGACAUUCCUGUCUCUCUUACCAGCCAAUCAUAAACGAUUCUGUUUCCCAAUA